GAAGUUUCCCUCAGGAUAGCUGGCGUUCUCGCUCUUUUCCCGACGUACGCAGUUUUAUCCGGUAAAGCGAAUGAUUAGAGGUCUUGGGGCCGAAACGAUCUCAACCUAUUCUCAAACUUUAAAUGGGUAAGAAGCCCGGCUCGCUGGCGUGGAGCCGGGCGUGGAAUGCGAGUGCCUAGUGGGCCACUUUUGGUAAGCAGAACUGGCGCUGCGGGAUGAACCGAAGGCCGGGUUAAGGCGCCGGAUGCCGAGUUAUCAUGGCAGGAGCAAGCAGCCUUCAGAUGACGAUAUAGAAUGCUCAGCUCCUGCUGCUCAUGCCUGCUUAGAUGCUGCCAUGCUCCUGCCAUGAUAAUGCA
rfam:Mus musculus chromosome 14, GRC primary reference assembly.